UACAGAGGGGGCAAGCGUUGUUCGGAAUUACUGGGCGUAAAGGGCGCGUAGGCGGCCUGCUAAGUCGAACGUGAAAUCCCUGGGCUCAACCCAGGAACUGCGUCCGAUACUGGUUGGCUUGAAUCCGGGAGAGGGAUGUGGAAUUCCAGGUGUAGCGGUGAAAUGCGUAGAUAUCUGGAGGAACACCGAUAGCGAAGGCAGCUCGCUGGGACGGUACUGACGCUGAGACGCGAAAGCGUGGGGAGCAAACAGG
rnacentral:rRNA from 1 species